GACGAACGCUGGCGGCGUGCUUAACACAUGCAAGUCGAGCGGUGAACCCUUCGGGGGGAUCAGCGGCGAACGGGUGAGUAACACGUGGGCAACCUGCCCCUGACUCUGGGAUAGCCUCGGGAAACCGGGAUUAAUACCGGAUAUGACACCUCCUCGCAUGGGGUGGUGUGGAAAGUUUUUCGGUCAGGGAUGGGCUCGCGGCCUAUCAGCUUGUUGGUGGGGUGAUGGCCUACCAAGGCGACGACGGGUAGCCGGCCUGAGAGGGUGACCGGCCACACUGGGACUGAGACACGGCCCAGACUCCUACGGGAGGCAGCAGUGGGGAAUAUUGCGCAAUGGGCGAAAGCCUGACGCAGCGACGCCGCGUGAGGGAUGAAGGCCUUCGGGUUGUAAACCUCUUUCAGCAGGGAAGAAGCGAAAGUGACGGUACCUGCAGAAGAAGCACCGGCUAACUACGUGCCAGCAGCCGCGGUAAUACGUAGGGUGCAAGCGUUGUCCGGAAUUAUUGGGCGUAAAGAGCUCGUAGGCGGUUUGUCGCGUCUGCUGUGAAAACGCGGGGCUCAACUCCGCGCCUGCAGUGGGUACGGGCAGACUAGAGUGCAGUAGGGGAGACUGGAAUUCCUGGUGUAGCGGUGGAAUGCGCAGAUAUCAGGAGGAACACCGGUGGCGAAGGCGGGUCUCUGGGCUGUAACUGACGCUGAGGAGCGAAAGCGUGGGUAGCGAACAGGAUUAGAUACCCUGGUAGUCCACGCCGUAAACGUUGGGCGCUAGGUGUGGGGCUCAUUCCACGAGUUCCGUGCCGCAGCAAACGCAUUAAGCGCCCCGCCUGGGGAGUACGGCCGCAAGGCUAAAACUCAAAGGAAUUGACGGGGCCCCGCACAAGCGGCGGAGCAUGCGGAUUAAUUCGAUGCAACGCGAAGAACCUUACCAAGGCUUGACAUGCAGGGUAAUCCGGCAGAGAUGUCGGGUCCGCAAGGGAUCUUGCACAGGUGGUGCAUGGUUGUCGUCAGCUCGUGUCGUGAGAUGUUGGGUUAAGUCCCGCAACGAGCGCAACCCUCGUCCUAUGUUGCCAGCGCGUGAUGGCGGGGACUCAUAGGAGACUGCCGGGCUCAACUCGGAGGAAGGUGGGGAUGACGUCAAAUCAUCACGCCCCUUAUGUCUUGGGCUUCACGCAUGCUACAAUGGCCAGUACAAAGGGCUGCGAGACCGUGAGGUGGAGCGAAUCCCAAAAAGCUGGUCUCAGUUCGGAUCGGGGUCUGCAACUCGACCCCGUGAAGUCGGAGUCGCUAGUAAUCGCAGAUCAGCAACGCUGCGGUGAAUACGUUCCCGGG
rnacentral:rRNA from 1 species